CCAGACUCCUACGGGAGGCAGCAGUGGGGAAUAUUGCACAAUGGGGGAAACCCUGAUGCAGCGACGCCGCGUGGGCGACGAAGCGCUCCGGCGCGUAAAGCCCUGUCAGCAGGGAAGAACAAAGACAGUACCUGACCAAGAAGCCCCGGCUAACUACGUGCCAGCAGCCGCGGUAAUACGUAGGGGGCAAGCGUUAUCCGGAAUUACUGGGUGUAAAGGGUGAGUAGGCGGCAUGGUAAGCCAGAUGUGAAAGCCUUGGGCUUAACCCGAGGAUUGCAUUUGGAACUAUCAAGCUAGAGUACAGGAGAGGAAAGCGGAAUUCCUAGUGUAGCGGUGAAAUGCGUAGAUAUUAGGAAGAACACCAGUGGCGAAGGCGGCUUUCUGGACUGAAACUGACGCUGAGGCACGAAAGCGUGGGGAGCGAACAGGAUUAGAUACCCGGGUACU
rnacentral:rRNA from 1 species